rnacentral:tRNA from 1 species
GCUGCUAUGGCUCAGUCGGUAGAGCGCAUCCUUGGUAAGGAUGAGGUCACCGGUUCGAUUCCGGUUAGUAGCUCCA